UUAAAGUGGCGACUCCUCACUUUUGCCACUUUAGUGAGAAUUCAUUCGGCGACCGCAAAACCCUUGUGACAAUAUAAAAUGUUUAGAAAAUCAGCAACAAAUAAUAGUUCAUGCAUAAAAACCUAUAAACAAAUGUCUAUAACACCAUUACAAAACAGGUGGUAACUUGCUGUUGCUAUUGAACAUUACUCUUAAUAUCAAAUAUUUAUGAUGUUAAAACUUGUGCUUUGUUUAGGAAAUCAUACAAGGAAGGAAAGAAAAUAGCUUGUUAUUUUUACCCCUUUUGUUUGGAUGGGAGAAAAAUGAAUGUAAUGAAAUGAAAAUAUUUUUUUUUCUCAUUCGGAAAGAAAAGAAAAUAAAGAGGAGAAAGAAAAUACAUUAAAAUUUACAAUUUUUUCCUCUAUAUUUCUACAAAGAAUUUAAUAAUUGUGUCAUAAAUAUCUAUCAUAUUCCUUAUAACAAUGAAUUAAAAAUUGUAAUAACCAAUUAUUAUUCAUUUUAAUUGAAUAUUUUUUAUGCAAUAUAUUAAUUUAAUACUAAUUUAAUAAAUAGACUCCAUUUCUAUGUAAGCAAUGUACAAAGCGGACAGAAUUACCUUUGGAAGAAUCAUUGUCUCAGCAG
rnacentral:misc_RNA from 1 species